rnacentral:lncRNA from 1 species
AGGUUCAGGACAUGCCACAUAAUCAAUGUGCUAACUUUUCUCGGAGUUGAAAGUGAUAACACACCACCACAUGGUCAAGUGAAUCAUAACCUGCUGGGGCUUGAGGUAUGGAAGACGAACAGUGGAGGAAAAGGUAUCUUCCAGCCUGGUGAAAUGCCGUGGAAAUGUGAGGCCAUUUAUUUUUUCUAAAUGCCCCAGCAACAGCUCUCAUUCACUUGCAGAAGCAAGAGCUGUUCUGACUACUCACAGUAUAUGGUGAGAUCUUUAUUUCUUUGCCUUUUUUUUUACUGUGAGUUUCCUUUUUUGUCAUCAUUGACCUUAUAAUGAAUCACUGCACUGUCUGAGUAAUGAGGCUGCAGUAGAUAAGGUCUCCUGAGAAUAUGAAGGAAGAAGUAUGUUCAGCAACUGAUUACUGACUUAUCCACCUGAUUAUAGUGACCAAUCUACUCAUAUAUCUGAUUUCAAAUGCCCAAUACAAUGUUAAUAAUCUUAUUAAAACUUC